AUUUAAAUAGCUUAAUUAGAGUGUAAUAUUGAAGUUAUUAAGGUAAAAUUUUUUUUUAAAUA
rnacentral:tRNA from 1 species